CUAAGACUUGCGUGGAUUUCAUACUGAAACUUGGCGUACGCCAAAACCCAGAAACUGUCUUACGCACAAAUAAAUUCAGAUGUAUCAAAGUGUGCGAACGCAUGGAUCCAAGCACGUUUCUUUUGUACAUCUCGAUCAACGUGGAAUUGAGCGCACAUGCCGAGGUGCCAAACUCCUCCCUGUCCACGCCCUCAUUUAAAUAUGCAAUUUCAUUUAAAUAGGCCUCUGGACCUGAGAUUCACCUCUUAAUCCGAUCACCUGGCACCAUGAACAGAGGCAAAAAACGAAACUUCACGGAGUCUGAGCUCGAGAUUUUGCUCCACGAGGUAGAAAUGCGCAAGCAUAUGCUAUUGGAACCCUGUCAACAGGGAUAAAUGCAAAACAAAAGAGAAGUGAGUGGGAGUGUGUUUGCGAGGCCGUCAAUGCAGUGGGGUCUCAGCAGCGCACACACUCUGAAAUUAAAAAAAAGUGGUCAGACCUCAAGGUGGAGGUGAAGCGGAGGGUUUCUGCCCACCGCCGAAGCGUGACCGCAACAGGUGGGGGGACGGGAGUGGGGGAACUCUCCCCCUUCGAUUUGAGAGUGGCCGCUUUGAUCGGUGACACGGCUCUCACCGGAGUGGUGGGAGCCCAUGAAGGGGACACCGAUCAUCCCCAAGACAAGCAAGGAGAGGGCACGGAUUGCUCCGUCGGCACCGGCGUCUCCUCCGUCGGCCCCGGCGUCUCCUCCGUCGGCCCCGGGGUCUCCUCCGUCGGCCCCGGCGUCUCCAGCCCCGGCGUCUCCAGCCCCGGCGUCUCCUCCGUCGGCCCCGGCGUCUCCAGCGUCACCGCUGACUCCGGUUUCUCCACCGGCUCCGCUGCACGCGGCGCCUCCAAUUCAUCUGCCAACCACCCGACCGGCCGUGUCCUCAACCGAGCUGUGCUGGAGUCACAGGCAGAAAUCGUCAGAGCCAUCGGUGGCAUUAAUGAUCGCCUUGAUCGGCUUAUAAAUGUACUCGGUGACAUAAGCGCGUCAAUAAAUACACUUGUGUCAAAGUCAAUUCUGUCCUUGCCUCUUUACAUGCUUGAAAUCACAGUCUGCCGGGCCCGUAUGGCUCCUCGGGGUGGGUUGCAGUUGACGGGUCCGGCAUCCGGUUCCUCCAGUGGGGGGUUGUGCUGCUCUGGCAGUGGUAUGCCAUGGUGGUGUGCCACAUUGUGGAGGACGCCACAGGCCAUCACAAUGUGGCACACCUUCUCAGGUCUGUAGAGUAGCAUCCCCCCCGACCUGUCCAGGCAUCGCCACCGUCCCUUCAGCAGGCCGAUUGCCCUCUCCACAAUAAUUCGCGUCCGGGAAUGGAGGUCAUUAUACCUCCUCUCUUGGUCGGUGUUGGGGUUCGUAAGAGGGGUCAUCAGCCACGUUCUUAGGGGGUAGCCACGGUCCCCUAGGGUCAGAUGAAGCCGCAGAAUACAAUACACAACGUAAAAACCACACAAUGAAUGAAUGCAGAAGUGCACCGCGGGCGACAUUUCUAACUUUACGCCCGCUUUUUACACGAAUAAAGCAUUUACUCACCCAGAAGCCACCCAUCGCGCACAGUGCCAGCCUCCAGCCUGUUCCCAACCAUGCUGUUGGUCAGAAUGAAUGAAUCGUGCGUUGAACCAGGCCACCUUGCCACGAUGUUAAGGAGCUGCAUUUGCGCACCACAUAUCACUUGGACAUUGAUAGAAUGAAAGUGUUUCCUGUUAACGUAAACAAAUUCAUCCUGUGAUGGCGCUUUUAUGGCAAUAUGUGUGCAGUCAACAGCUCCGAUUACAUUAGGGAAACCGGCUGUUGCUGCAAAUUGCGCUUUAAUGUGGGCCUGUUCAACAGCAUUGUAUGGGAAUUUGAUGUACCUGGAUGACAUUCGGAUGAUUCCGUCCCACACAGCUGGCAUGGCUCGGCUCAGGGUGGACUGGCACACUCCUGACCGAUCGGCCAGCUCCCGCUGGAAGGCCCCUGUUGCCAGGAACCCCAGCGUGGUCAGCACCUGUGUGGGCACGGACAACCCCUGGCUCCUGGCUGUGUGGCGCUCUAGGGCCGGCCGCAGCUCUGCGCACAGCUCCAGUAAUACUGGCCUGGGGAAACGAAAUCGGCUCAUGAGCCAAUCGUCAUCAUUUGCGAGUAAGUCCUCGCGUUCCCUAAAUAUACGUUCCCUUCGGAUGUGACCAUUUGCGAUGUCCUCUAACAACGCUAACACAGCCAUUGUUAAAAGAAUUUUCUUCAUCCAUUGCGCAUGCUUUUAUAGCCACCCAUAUAAUUGCAAGGUGUGUUAAUUGUUCAUUAGUGUGUCUCUGAUGUGCAAAUCACUCUGAUGAGUCAUUGUUUUCACCUUUUUUCCCAGUUUCCCAGCGUCACCUCUAAGUGUCGCCAAAGGAACAAUAGCUGUAGAAACGUGCGUACGACAGCUCUGGAGCUGGCGUGGGGACCGCACAUUUUUACGGUCAUUUCACGUUUUGUACAUCUGAACGUGAGCGUGGAAAAGGACGUACGCCACGUUUUUGUGCGUACGCAGCCUUAGUACAUGAGGCCCCUGAUCCGUAAUUCCAACCUGUUCCGGCAUUGCGCCGUUGGAAAGAAAGAGACCGGCCCAGACCCGUUUAGCGGAUCUGCCCCAAAUGAUAAACAAGACCUGGGCCAAAUCUGGCCCAAAUAUUCACGCAUAACGGGUCCAACCCGUUUCUACACCCUAACCGUGAGCACUUAUGUGGAUCACAGGUCAC
rnacentral:lncRNA from 1 species